rnacentral:rRNA from 1 species
GACGAACGCUGGCGGCGUGCUUAACACAUGCAAGUCGAACGGAAACGCCCUGCUUUUUUGGGCUGCUCGAGUGGCGAACGGGUGAGUAACACGUGAGUAACCUGCUCUUGACUUUGGGAUAACUUCAGGUAACUGGGGCUACUACCGGAUAGGAGCUCCUGCUGCAUGGUGGGGGUUGGAUAGUUUCGGCGGUUGGGGAUGGACUCGCGGCUUAUCAGCUUGUUGGUGGGGUAGUGGCUUACCAAGGCUUUGACGGGUAGCCGACCUGGGAGGGUGACCGGGCACAUUGGGACUAAGGGACGGAGCAGACUCGUACGGGAGGCAGCAGUGGGGAAUAUUACACAAUGAGCGGGAGCCUGAGGCAGCAACGCCGGGUGCGGGAAGACGGCCUUCGGGUUGUGAACCGCUUUAGCCUGUGACGAAGCGUGAGUGACGGUAAUGGGUGAAGAAGCACCGGCUAACUACGUG